rnacentral:rRNA from 1 species
GAUGAACGCUGGCGGCGUGCCUAAUACAUGCAAGUCGAGCGAACGGACGAGAAGCUUGCUUCUCUGAUGUUAGCGGCGGACGGGUGAGUAACACGUGGAUAACCUACCUAUAAGACUGGGAUAACUUCGGGAAACCGGAGCUAAUACCGGAUGAUAUUUUGAACCGCAUGGUUCAAAAGUGAAAGACGGUCUUGCUGUCACUUAUAGAUGGAUCCGCGCUGCAUUAGCUAGUUGGUAAGGUAACGGCUUACCAAGGCAACGAUGCAUAGCCGACCUGAGAGGGGGAUCGGCCACACUGGAACUGGGACACGGUCCAGACUCCUACGGGAGGCAGCAGUAGGGAAUCUUCCGCAAUGGGCGAAAGCCUGACGGAGCAACGCCGCGUGAGUGAUGAAGGUCUUCGGAUCGUAAAACUCUGUUAUUAGGGAAGAACAUAUGUGUAAGUAACUGUGCACAUCUUGACGGUACCUAAUCAGAAAGCCACGGCUAACUACGU